rnacentral:rRNA from 1 species
AGAGUUUGAUCCUGGCUCAGAACGAACGCUGGCGGCAUGCCUAACACAUGCAAGUCGAACGAGACCUUCGGGUCUAGUGGCGCACGGGUGCGUAACGCGUGGGAAUCUGCCCUUUGCUUCGGAAUAACAGUUAGAAAUGACUGCUAAUACCGGAUGAUGUCUUCGGACCAAAGAUUUAUCGGCAAGGGAUGAGCCCGCGUAGGAUUAGGUAGUUGGUGGGGUAAAGGCCUACCAAGGCGACGAUCCUUAGCUGGUCUGAGAGGAUGAUCAGCCACACUGGGACUGAGACACGGCCCAGACUCCUACGGGAGGCAGCAGUGGGGAAUAUUGGACAAUGGGCGAAAGCCUGAUCCAGCAAUGCCGCGUGAGUGAUGAAGGCCUUAGGGUUGUAAAGCUCUUUUACCCGGGAUGAUAAUGACAGUACCGGGAGAAUAAGCCCCGGCUAACUCCGUG